rnacentral:rRNA from 1 species
GUGGUAGUUCUAGAGUUUGAUCCUGGCUCAGGAUGAACGCUGGCGGCGUGCUUAACACAUGCAAGUCGAACGAAGUGCUUUUGUUCAAUCCCUUCGGGGUGCGAACUUAAGUAUCUUAGUGGCGGACGGGUGAGUAACGCGUGGGGUAACCUGCCUCAUGCAGGGGGAUAACAGUUAGAAAUGACUGCUAAUACCGCAUAAGCGCACAGUGCCGCAUGGUACAGUGUGAAAAGAUUUAUCAGCAUGAGAUGGACCCGCGUCUGAUUAGCUAGUUGGUGGGGUAACGGCCUACCAAGGCGACGAUCAGUAGCCGACUUGAGAGAGUGAUCGGCCACAUUGGGACUGAGACGCGGCCCAA